rnacentral:rRNA from 1 species
GAGUUUGAUCCUGGCUCAGAACGAACGCUGGCGGCAGGCCUAACACAUGCAAGUCGAACGCUGUAGCAAUACAGAGUGGCGCACGGGUGCGUAACGCGUGGGAAUAUGCCCUUGACUACGGAACAACGUCGGGAAACUGACGCUAAUACCGUAUAAUGUCUUCGGACCAAAGAUUUAUCGGUCAAGGAUUAGCCCGCGUCUGAUUAGCUAGUUGGUGAGGUAACGGCUCACCAAGGCGACGAUCAGUAGCUGGUCUGAGAGGAUGAUCAGCCACACUGGAGCUGAGACACGGUCCAGACUCCUACGGGAGGCAGCAGUGGGGAAUAUUGGACAAUGGGCGCAAGCCUGAUCCAGCCAUGCCGCGUGUGUGAAGAAGGCC